AAUACUCAGAGGUAAAGUUUCCAUAAAUAUUUCCUGAGAGAAUUAGCCUUCAAACUUCUCCGGUCUUUUUCCUUUCUUUCUUCUCAGCAUCGUGCUUUGCAACGCCCUGACAAAGACACUUGUAUUCCCAAGACAGCCUUGGAGGAGCUGCUGAUAGGCAUUAACCUCUUUCUGUCCCUAAUAAUGACGGGCAAUGCACGGAUGUUCAGGUCUGGGACUCAGAGCAGAGCCCAAGGCCUGCCCGCCUCCUCUGAACCUGGAGGUGGUGUAGGUAGAACAGAACAUCUGGCCUCACUCAUCCUUCCCGCCAAGGCGUCCUUGCCUGUAUUUAUAUACACUAAAACCUCUGCCCAGAUAAAACAGCCAUGUAAAAUCCAAUUUCCUCAGAAUCUCUUUUGGAGCCUGGGCCUGAGAGAUGGAGUUAGGUAACCCCGGCGGUUACCGCCUGAACCACUCCUGCUGGCUGCAAAGCUUGUAACCUGUCCCCUCCUGGACUGUGAAAAGAACAUAUAGCCCGACCUCCCUGCCAACAAGCUGUACCAUUGGGAAGAGGAGAGCCCAACGGUAGAAGCUCAUCAAUGAUUCCCAGCCUCUGUUUCCAUCAGAAUUGCUUGAUGAAGCUCCUUUAACACAAAUAGAUUUACUCACAUUCCUUAACUGUAAAAGGUGUGCAUGUGCCAGCAGGGGGUUCUGGAAUCAUGUACCUUUGUCAGAGCUCCCCCAUUUAAUUCUGAUACAAUUCCACGUAUUACCUAAAGAGAA